GGCAUAGUUGCCUAGUUAGGUGGAGUAACAGCCCGAGUGGCGAUUGCACUGGUAAUUGCCUAAUUCGAGUCAGGUGCGCUAUAGGUGCGGGAGCACGCAUAAAUGGUUCUGUGUAUUGAGAGCGUGUAGGCUGUUGUAAGUUCUGUUGCUGCUUUCCUGCUGAGCGGUUCUCAUAUGGGGAUUCUGGAGCUGAGUCGCGCAUCCAUUUGGUAUGCGUGACGGGCUGUGUUUACAUAUCGCGGCUUGACAGUGGGAAGACUGAUUUGCGGAAAAUCAGUGGACGAGCGAGUAAUAUC